UGGGGAAUUUUGGACAAUGGGCGCAAGCCUGAUCCAGCCAUUCCGCGUGCAGGACGAAGGCCUUCGGGUUGUAAACUGCUUUUGUACGGAACGAAAAGCCCUUCUCUAAUACAGAGGGGUCAUGACGGUACCGUAAGAAUAAGCACCGGCUAACUUCGUGCCAGCAGCCGCGGUAAUACGAAGGGUGCAAGCGUUACUCGGAAUUACUGGGCGUAAAGCGUGAGUAGGUGGUUUCUUAAGUCUGCUGUGAAAGCCCCGGGCUCAACCUGGGAACUGCCUUUGUGACUGCAAGGCUGGAGUACGGCAGAGGGGGAUGGAAUUCCGCGUGUAGCAGUGAAAUGCGUAGAUAUGCGGAGGAACACCGAUGGCGAAGGCAAUCCCCUGGGCCUGCACUGACGCUCAUGCACGAAAGCGUGGGGAGCAAACA
rnacentral:rRNA from 1 species